GGCAAGAUGGCCGAGUGGUUAUGGCGUGUGACUCAAGCGCAAGCUUGCCUCAAUAGAGGCUGCAUUCUCAUGGGCUUUGCCCGCGGGGGUUCGAAUCCCCCUCUUGUCA